CUGGUCUUUCACAUAAAUCCCCAGCUAUGCACGGGCUCCAUUUUUCCAUAAUGCUUUCUCUAGCUCUCUCCUACAUAGGAAAGAACUAUUUCUGAAUGACUGCCUUUUCAAGUCCCAAAGUAAAUCAAUGCCAUGAGGAAAGAAAAAAUGGGAAAUCUGAACUGAACUAAGAGGUGGAACUGAGAGCUCAUAAAGAAUUUACCAGGAGAACUGAAAGAGAAGCUAGUUUGGAAUCCAUGACAGCAAAUCUCCGUACAAUGCCAAAGCUUCUGAAAAAAGAGAAUCGUAAAUGUGGGUUCUGAGAAGAAGGAGAAAUGGUUAUUAAAGCCCACCAAUGUGAACAACCUCAAUGGAAGAAAGCCUGAAUUAUAAACAGAUUCCAUUCCAUUAAACCAGCAUUGAUGAAUGGUCUGUUGUGUGCCAGGCACUUUCAUAGGUGUUGGAGAUAAAAAGACAAAAUAUCCCUGCUCUCAAGGUCUUUGAAUUUCUAUUGUGAGAAACAACA